AUCCUUUUGUAGUUCCUAAGUGUGGUGGUUGGGUUUUCACACUCAUAAGUGAGAUAUGCCUCCCUCAAACCUUAUCACCACCUGGGCCCAUUCCCCAUCUGAUA
ensembl:snoRNA